UCAACCUACCCUAUGGACGGGAAUAACCUCGGGAAACUGAGUAUAAUGCCCGAUAGAACACUAUACCUGGAAUGGUUUGUGUUCCAAAUGAAUGUCGCCGUAGGAUGGGACUGCGGCCUAUCAGUUUGUUGGUGAGGUAAUGGCCCACCAAGACUAUUACAGGUACGGGCUCUGAGAGGAGUAGCCCGGAGAUGGGUACUGAGACACGGACCCAGGCCCUAUGGGGCGCAGCAGGCGAGAAAACUUUGCAAUGUGCGAAAGCACGACAAGGUUAAUCCGAGUGGUUUGUGCUAAACGAACCUUUUGACAGUCCUAGAAACACUGUUGAAUAAGGGGUGGGCAAGUUCUGGUGUCAGCCGCCGCGGUAAAACCAGCACCUCAAGUGGUCAGGAUGAUUAUUGGGCCUAAAGCAUCCGUAGCCGGCUCUGUAAGUUUUCGGUUAAAUCUGUACGCUCAUCGUACAGGCUGCCGGGAAUACUGCAGAGUUAGGGAGUGGGAGAGGUAGACGGUACUCGGUAGGAAGGGGUAAAAUCCUUUGAUCUAUUGAUGACCACCUGUGGCGAAGGCGGUCUACCAGAACACGUCCGACGGUGAGGGAUGAAAGCUGGGGGAGCAAACCGGAUUAGAUACCCGGGUAGUCCCAGCUGUAAACUAUGCAAACCCAGUGAUGCAUUG
rnacentral:rRNA from 1 species